UUAUAUAUAUGAGGUUAAGAGUUCCUUGUAAUUAAUGCAUGAUUUUAUAUAAGUUAAUAAUAGUCAUAUGUUUGCCGUUUCAUUUAUGGAAAAUUGCACAAAUCUCUUCUAAGAUUUCUACUUAUAAUAACUCUAUAUUUAUUUUUGGAAAAUAACUUUAAAUGUUAUGUUAAAGUGAGAAAUAUUAAUUAAAUAUAUAAGUUAGUGAUGUUCUUUAAUGAAGUAAAUUAGCUUGAUGAGAAAAUUGAUUUUAUUUUUAAUAGUCAAGACUCUAAUAUUUAUUUAUAUUAGUGAAAAUAGAGAGAAUAAUAACUAUACAAAUAUAUUUCGAUGUAGAAAGCAAUAAAUAACUAAUUUAAUUAUGGUCAAUUUUUUACAUAUUGUAUUUAUUCAGAUUUUAAACUAAAAUUUAUGUAAUACUCCAUUAGUAUCAAUCAGAAUUUGUUUAUUUAUAUAGACAAUAGAGAAUGACCUUGUCGUUUACAUUAGUUGACGCUCAUUCUAAAAAUAGUUGUUUUAAUUUAAUUUUCCAAAUUAUGAAAUCAAAAGAAUUUUUAAAUAUUUUUUUAUUUCUAUACUUAAUAUUAAAUAGGAAAAGGACAUAAAUUUUCUUCUGAACUUGUCUCAAAAAGUCACUUACACGCUUAAACGAUCAUGAUGAUCUAGUAAACAUCUUUACUAUUCAAAAGUAAAUUUAAUACCAAUCUAAGACGUGUAACACCAUUCUCAUAGGAUAUAUGUGAUAUAGUACACUCGACACAUCUCACAAAAAAUUUUUGAUUAGAAGUAUAUUUUACUUAUUAACUAAUCUUAUUAAUAAUUUUUUGAAACUCUAAAUUUGAGUACUGCCAAAAAAACAUAAUUUGGUAAACUUGACGAGUAAUGAAACACCUCUUUUUUUGUAUACAAGUAAAGUACAAUAAAAAGAAUCAUAAGGACAAUAGAAAUAUUAAGACGUUUUAAAGACCACUUACAAUAAGUUAGCAUAUUUCGAUAAAUGAGUAUUCUUUGGGCUUAAUGGAGAUCUAUAAACAUACAUUAGUUAAUAUGAAUUAUAAUUACAUGUUACCGAGAGUAGAGAUUGGAGAGAAAUGAGCGAGAUAUGGAAAGAGAGUGGAGAGGGAGGUUGAAUUCCUUUUGUAUUUGUUGUAUCAGAUUGUAUCACGAAUACAAUCGAUACAACUGAUUUAUAUCAAAAUGAAUAUAAUUAUAUUCAUUUUAGAAGGAGAGAGACGAGAGAGCAUGAAUACAUAUUAUAUCCGUUGUAAAACAAAUAUAAAUAUGUUCUUCUUCUACUUGUAAGGUUGAUGGGGAGUAUAGUUUUACAUUGUGGGCAAUGAAAGACAAAGGAAUGUUGGACUUAAAUAUUUAAAAUAAAAUUGGCCAUUGAUUUAAGUGUCACGAUGUAAUACGUGAUUCGUUCAAAACAUCCAAAGGGAGAUUUUGGUUAUGGUGUGAUUCAUUUGUUAAACGUGGUGACAAGAUUAAUAUAAUUUCUUACAACGAGAGUUUGAUCGAUCCAAACACACUUUUUUAAUAUUUGGUUGAGUCGUUUUUAAGUUCUAUGAGUUUUUGAUCAAAAUGAGCUAUUUUUAAAACCAAUUCACCAAAAUAAUACGUUUUUAAUUUUUUUUCACAAAACUAGUAUAAACGUACUUCAUGGUAACGUUUUAGGAUAUUUUCAUUAUAAAAAUUCAACAGAUAAAAAGUUAACGGAUUGACGACGUUAAACGCAUAAACGUAACUUUGAGUAACGUUUUAGGUGUAAAACGUUACUCAAGAGUACGUUUUUGGAGAAUCCAAUCACGGGCCACUAACUCCAAUCCUGCAAAGGCGGAGUCAAAUCAUUCAACUGUAAAACGUUACUAUAAGUAACGUUUUACACCUAAAAUGUUACUUUCAGACCCGUUUCUUAAGAAUCCAAUCACGGGCCUUCGACUUCUGCAAAUUUAGAAUAUAUUUAGCUAUAAAACGUUACUCACAGUGACGUUAUACCUUAAAAACGUUGCUGUGAAUUACAACACUCUGUUAAAGUCACAUUCCUCCAUUUUUCAAACUGACCAAAGUGACUAUAAAUAAAUGUUGUUGUAAUAUUUUGCAUGUACAAAUAUAAUUAAGCAAAAUUUUUCCUUGUGUGGUCUAUUUAAAAAUAAUAUUCACAAAAUUUCAUCAGGUAUGAAUUAAAUAAGUGAAGUUUAUUCUUUUUUAUGUUCUUAUUAUAGCUUUAAAAUUAUCUUUCUAAUUUAAUAAUAUUAUUUUAAAAAAUAUUUUAUCUUUAUGUGUAUGAUUAAGAUGACGAGCUUUGAACAUAAUGUGAUGGUUGCUUUGUAUUGGGGUGGAGAAAUAAUUACGGAUAUGAACGGAUUUAGGUAUACUGAAUGUGCUAGAACGAUUAUUAGCAUGUCGACUUCAACUACCUAUGUUGAAUUGGUUGGAUUGUUGCAUGAGAAAAUGGGAACAUAUAGUGAAAAUAUUCAUAUGGAUAUUUCUGGAAAAUAUCCAUGUUCAAUUCAAGGUAUCAAUACAAGGUUCAUUGAGUUUAAAAUUGAGAAUGACCAAUCUUUGUUACAAUUUCUUUUCAUACCUCAAAAAUUUGCGGAUAAGAUUGAUAUAAAUGUUUUGGAGAUGUAUGUAAGGACUGUAUCGACAGAUCAAAAUGUUGCAUUUCAAGUUAGUGGUCAUCAUGAUUAUCACAUGAAUUUGUUGGCUCAAAAUUAUGGACCACGAUCAAUCAACCUCAUUUUGUAGAACCGAUUGUUCAACCACCAUUUCAACAAUUGUUGAUGCAUGAUCAUCGAUCAUUUUGUGAAGACUCAAGUAGUUAAAUGCAUAUUGAUAAUAGUCACAUGGAAUAUGAGGCUAGGUAAACAACAAAUCUUUAUUUUAUUAAAUUUUAGUCUAACAAUUUAAUAAGAUAAUUUUUAUUGUCAGUAUACACAAAUUAUCUCUUAUAAAUAGAAGAAAUAAUAUUUUAGAAUAUUUAUUAUCGCUUUUAAAACAAGAUUGUAUAUUUAUAAUUUUGCUAGAAUUUGACGAAUAUUUUUUUACAGAAAUAUUGAUAUCAACGUUGAUCUAUAUAAUGAUGUAAAUGCUGAAAUUAGUGAUGAAAGUUCGGAGGAAGAUGAACCUCCGAAAGAUGGUGAAAGUGAACCUAAUGAAGAUAUCGAUGAUAUUAGAGAUUUUUCUCAAAAUGGUGUAAAUCUUCAUAAUCUUGAUCAGGGCGUGUCUCAUGACAUACCCUAUUUCAGGACAUUAGAGAAUGAGGAAGACAUUUUCAUGUCUACAUGUGAAUCUGAGAUGGAAUGUUGUUGAGUUUGGUCUGAGCAAGCAAAAAAAGAUUUUAAAAAAGGUAUGCUUUUUAGUAGUAAAGAAAAGUUUAAAAUGGUUGUAACGAUUUUGGGCUUUCAAGCCAUGCAUUGAUGGAUUCCAAACAUGUCGCCCAGUUAUUUUAGUAGAUGGAACUCAUAUUUAUGGAAAAUAUGAGACCAAAUUUUUAAUUCCUGUUGGAAUUGAUGGAAAUGAUAACAUUCUCCCAUUAGCGUUUGCUAUUGUAGACAAAGAAUCAAAAGAGGCAUGGAAAUGGUUUAUUAGAAAUUGGAGUGCACAUGUGAUAAAAAGUAGACAAAAUGUAUGUGUUAUAUCUGAUAGGGCAAAAGGAAUCUUGACUAGUUUGCGGGAGCUGCGACGAUUUCAAGAGCCUCGAGUCUUUCAUCGAUUUUGCAUAAGACAUCUUAAGAGCAACUUUCAAUCUAAAUUUCUAAACAAGGACCUCAGCAGAUUGAUGUGGAGGGCUACUUCAGCCCAUCAAGUAAGAAAGUUUGAGUCCAUGAUUUGGCAAAUUAAAGAAGAAAAUAUCGAAGCACAUUAAUACCUCAUGGAAAUUCCCUUGGAUAAAUGGACUGUUAGCCAUGAUGAUGGAAAAAGAUGGGGAGUGUUGACAAUAAAUCUUUCAGAGUCAUUCAAUGGAGUGUUGAAAAAAGCACGAGGUUUGCCUGUCACUUCUAUGAUUAGACUUUCAUUGGAGCAAACUAUUGAACGGUAUACCCGUAGGUCUCAAAUAGCAGAGCAAAAUGAAUUAUGGACCAGGAGGUUCAAAAUAAAGUGGGAGAAGAAUUAUGAAAGUUCAAAGAGGCACUUUGUUUCUGAUUGGAAUAUACCCAUAGGAGUAUACGAGGUUAGAUCUAUACAAGUUGAUCGUACUGGUGGUAAUCCUCAUCGUGUUUCACUAAAUGAAAGAAAAUGUGAUUGUAGAAAAUGGGUUAAUCUGCACUUCCCGUGUUCACAUGUAAUGAAGGUAACUGAUAGAAUGGGAGGGCUAGCUAGAAAUUUUGUUAGCGGCAUUUCACAAUAGAGAAUUAUGUUGCAACAUAUUCUGGGUCAUUCUCACCAAUUGGCCAUGAGUCAUAUUAGCCAUCUCCAAGUUUUACAAUGAGAAGUAAUGAAUUCUAUCGUCGUCCUAAUCGUCCAAGGACAACUAGAAUACAUAAUGAAAUGGAUAGUAGUUUUACAGUGUAUGAGCGAGCUUGUGGAUUAUGCAGGCAGACAAUGUAUAGAUCUAACCUCGUAGCUCACUCAUAAUCCACAAGAUCGCUCAUACUUGAUGAAAUUUUGUGAAUAUUAUUUUUAAAAUGGACCACACAAGGAAAAUUUUUGCUGAAUUAUAUUUGAACAUGCAAAAUAUUACAACAACAUUUAUUUAUAGUCACUUUGGUCAGUUUGAAAAAUGGAGGAAUAUGACUUUAACAGAGUGUUGUAAUUGACAACAACGUUUCUAAGGUAAAAUGUCAUUGUGAGUAACAUUUUAUAGCUAAAUAUAUUCUAAAUUUGUAGAAGUCGAAGGCCCGUGAUUGGAUUCUUAAGAAACGGGACUCAAAGUAACAUUUUAGGUGUAAAACGUUACUCAUAGUAAUGUUUUACAGUUGAAUGAUUUGACUCCGCCUUUGCAGGAUUGGAGUCAGGGACCCGUGAUUGGAUUCUCCAAAACGUACUCUUGAGUAACCUUUUACACCUAAAACGUUACUCAAAGUUACGUUUAUGUUUUUAAAGUCGCCAACCUGUUAACUUUUUGUCCGUUGAAUUUUUAUAAUGAAAAUAUCCUAAAACGUUACCAUGAAGUACGUUUAUACUAGUUUUGUGAAAAAAAUUUAAAACAUAUUAUUUUGGUGAAUUGUUUUUAAAAAUAGCUCAUUUUGAUCAAAAAGUCUAAGUUCUAUCACAUGUAAGUAACAAACUCUUAAAUUUUGUUUUGUCAUUUCUGAAUUGAUCUUUGUUGAAUGCACCUUUAUUGUUCAUUUAUUAUUUGUGGAAAACAGAACAUUUGAUGUUGAUGGAAAGUUACAAGCAUUUGAUAUUGCUAAAAAAUAUUUAAUGAUUAUACGAAUAAAUUAUGAUCAAAUAUUUUAAUUUAAUGAUUGAAAUUAAAAUUAUAUCAUAUAAAUUGAACUAUAAUAUAAUUCUACUCUUUCAUCAUCCACACUUAUAUUUUCCUUUUCCUUUUGUUUGGGACUGAAACGACUAUUUAUGGGACUUGGCAGUACUUCUCUUUGUUGUUUAUCAAUUAUGAUUUAUGAGUUAGAUAGACUUCUCCAACUAUAUAAUAUAAGACCACAUAUUUCUAUGAUCAAGUUUGACUGCUAAAAGUGACACAAUGACUUUUAGACCUCUUUAUUUAUUACAUUAAAUCAUCUCCAAUUCUAUUCUAUUUUACUUUUCAUUCUUUAUAUUUGAAGAUUAAAUUAAUGAACAUACUCUUCAAUUAUUCUCUAUUUUAUCCUUUACCUUUUAAUUAUAGCGAAUUGAAUAGUAAUUCUCCAAAUUUGGAGCAUACUCUCUAUUUCACUUUUUGAAUAUUAUAUAUUUUUUGUAAUUAACAUAUUUUUUUUAUAUAAGACUAUUAAUUAAAUCUCUAAUAUAUGCAUUUAAAUUUAAUAUAACAACUUUGUGAUACAAUUUGAUUUUAUAUCAAUUUUCAUUAUGAAGAAUGCACAAAAUAUAAAUGAUAAGAUAAAAAAUUUAAUUUAUAAAUGUAAUCUAUAACAUAAUAAUUUAAAUACAAGAUAAUAAUAGAUACAAUGCAUAACAUAAUAAUUUAAAAAUCACAACAAUAAUUUAGUUAUCUGGUAAGUCGUUUCUAGAUUCAAUGAUAUUUGGAAAAAAAGUUAGUGUAUGAUUUAAAGAAGUUGUGAUUGUGAUUGCGAUUGUUUUUGUUUAUUUCUUUUUUCAAUUAUUCGUAGUUGCUCUUUAGAAAUUUAGAGUAAUAUCCAAUUUAAUAUCAAACAAAAAAAUUCAAAAAAUUAAAAUUUUAUGUUACAUGAAAUUAUAUUGGAUGAUUAUUCAUAAAAAAGAAAGAAAAAAUGUCACGACCCAAAAUCACGAGUCGUGAUGGCACCUAUAUUCCCAACCAAUAGGUAAGCCAACCAACAUAUUUUAACAAACUUAACUAACAAAGAAGUGAAAAGACAACAAUUUCCAAAUCUCCAACACUGAGUUCUUAUAAGUAAUAAGAAUGCGGAAAACUGAAAAAAAGUACUACCCAAGAAAUGGUGUCAUGAGUACAAGAGCUUCUAAAAUACGAUGUAAGUCUGAAACUAAAAAGGCAAAUCUAACAUAAGGGAUAUCCUGUCUGAAUACUGAAUAACAGAAUAAGUAAAAGAUAGAGGGAGGUGUGGGCCACGGAACAGCCAAGCAGCUCACCACAACUUCAAGACACUCCAAACUCGGACUCAAACUGCUCCUCGAGAUGUGCUCCUACUUGGAAUCGAAUCUGCACCACAAAGAGUGCAACAAGUGUAGUAUGAGUAUGAAACCACGUGUACUCAGUAUGUCUCAUUGACCGACCACGAAGAAGUAGUGACGGGAGUUUAUAUAAGAAAAUAAAUUCAUAAAUUAUACAAGUAUAUAUAUAUAUUUACACUCACUAUUUAAGUUUCGUCAAUAAAGGAAAUCAACAGUUAAUAUUUUCCAAACACCAAACGAAACAUAUAGUCAUCAAGAAUGAAUGAUGGGAUGAAAUGCAAUGCAAUAUGAUGCCCUGUAAUGAUAUGGCUCAGAAUACCCAGUACUCACUCAACCGUAUAUACAUGAUACUCCUCGGAAAUACAUCGAGAGUUCAUAACCCAUGGGGGACUCGCGAGGUCCAUAUACCGACACGGACGAUCUCCACGUGUCUGUGCAGACGAUCUCAACGCACAAUCAUAAUAUCAAACAAUUUUCGCACGGACGGUCACCACGUGCCCAAAUUACAAUGUUAACAUCUCACCAUCCCCAGCACGGACGAUCUCCAUGUGCUCAACUUAUACUCAGUCUCAUGUCUAUGCAUGUGCACAAUAUUAUUUCAAUAGAGGGGAUGAUGAUGCAUCUCAAUCAAUCAAUAUGAACGUAUACAUAACCACCUCAAUUUUCACAACUAUACGGGUGAAAUAAAUAAAACACAAUCACACAAGGAAUUCAAGUCAAUAAUAUAUCAGUUAAUGCCCAUAUGCUUUGGCAUUCUCAAAUUUCAAUCCACAUUCUAAAAUAGUAAUUUUCCUUUUUAUAACACCGGUACUCGUACCAAUGCCCGUCACACCAUUGAUACGAGACCACCAUCCUUCCUCCUUACCCCUUUGUCUAUUUUCAUUUUUUUAAUCUUUAAUUAGAAAAACGUCCUUCAACAAGUCU
rnacentral:lncRNA from 1 species